CCGGCGCACGGGUGAGUAACACGUAUCCAACCUGCCCUUUACUCGGGGAUAGCCUUUCGAAAGAAAGAUUAAUACCCGAUAGCAUAAUGAUUCCGCAUGGUUUCAUUAUUAAAGGAUUCCGGUAAAGGAUGGGGAUGCGUUCCAUUAGGUUGUUGGUGAGGUAACGGCUCACCAAGCCUUCGAUGGAUAGGGGUUCUGAGAGGAAGGUCCCCCACAUUGGAACUGAGACACGGUCCAAACUCCUACGGGAGGCAGCAGUGAGGAAUAUUGGUCAAUGGGCGUUAGCCUGAACCAGCCAAGUAGCGUGAAGGAUGAAGGCUCUAUGGGUCGUAAACUUCUUUUAUAUAAGAAUAAAGUGCAGUAUGUAUACUGUUUUGUAUGUAUUAUAUGAAUAAGGAUCGGCUAACUCCGUGCCAGCAGCCGCGGUAAUACGGAGGAUCCGAGCGUUAUCCGGAUUUAUUGGGUUUAAAGGGAGCGUAGGUGGACUGGUAAGUCAGUUGUGAAAGUUUGCGGCUCAACCGUAAAAUUGCAGUUGAUACUGUCAGUCUUGAGUACAGUAGAGGUGGGCGGAAUUCGUGGUGUAGCGGUGAAAUGCUUAGAUAUCACGAAGAACUCCGAUUGCGAAGGCAGCUCACUGGACUGCAACUGACACUGAUGCUCGAAAGUGUGGGUAUCAAACAGGAUUAGAUACCCUGGUAGUCCACACAGUAAACGAUGAAUACUCGCUGUUUGCGAUAUACAGUAA
rnacentral:rRNA from 1 species